GGACUGUGGCUCAGUGGUAGAGUGCUUGCCUAGCAUAUAUGAAGCACUGGGUUCGAGCCUCAGCACCA
rnacentral:tRNA from 1 species